ACGAGACAGAUCGAUUUGCUUUGUUGGACUUGAAGAAACAAAUUUAUGAUGAUCCGUAUGGAGCACUAAGUUCUUGGAAUGAUUCCAUCCAUUUCUGCAACUGGGUUGGGAUCACAUGUGGAAAUCGUCAUCGACAACGGGUUAUCAGCUUGGAUUUACAAGGGAAGGGCUUGGGAGAAUAUGGCAUGGGUGGAAAGGCAACUAUACAAGGUGACGUGUUUAGUUAUGGGAUCCUUUUAUUGGAGAUGUUCAUAGG